ACUCUCAGCAACGGAUAUCUUGGCUCUUGCAUCGAUGAAGAACGCAGCGAAAUGCGAUACGUAGUGUGAAUUGCAGAAUUCCGCGAAUCAUCGAGUCUUUGAACGCAAGUUGCGCCCGAGGCUUGUCCGAGGGCUUCCGCUAGAGCGUCACCGCGCCCC
rnacentral:rRNA from 1 species